CACGUAGGGUGCGAGCGUUGUCCGGAGUUAUUGGGCGUAAAGAGCUCGUAGGCGGUGUGUCGCGUCGGCCGUGAAAACCUGCAGCUUAACUGUGGGCUUGCGGUCGAUACGGGCAUCACUGGAGUUCGGCAGGGGAGACUGGAAUUCCUGGUGUAGCGGUGAAAUGCGCAGAUAUCAGGAGGAACACCGGUGGCGAAGGCGGGUCUCUGGGCCGAUACUGACGCUGAGGAGCGAAAGCGUGGGGAGCGAACAGG
rnacentral:rRNA from 1 species